rnacentral:misc_RNA from 1 species
GAAAUGCGAUAAGUAAUGUGAAUUGCAGAAUUCAGUGAAUCAUCGAAUCUUUGAACGCACCUUGCGCUCCUUGGUAUUCCUUGGAGCAUGCCUGUUUGAGUAUCAUGAAAUCUUCAAAGUAAAUCUUUUGUUAACUCAAUUGGUUUCUACUUUGGUAUUGGAGGUCUUUGCAGCUUCACACCUGCUCCUCUUUGUUCAUUAGCUGGAUCUCAGUGUUAUGCUUGGUUCCACUCGGCGUGAUAAGUUAUCUAUCACUGAGGACACUGUAAAAGGUGGCCAAGGUAAAUGCAGAUGAACCGCUUCUAAUAGUCCAUUGACUUGGACAAUACUUUUAUGAUCUGACCUCAAAUCAGGUAGGACUACCCGCUGAACUUAAGC